rnacentral:lncRNA from 1 species
ACUGGCCCGGAUAAUCCACCGCUGGCCGUGAGCUUCGCUACACUCCUCCCUUCUUCCCAAACCUCGCCCGGGCGCGCUCUCCCCUACGUUGGGAGGGCUCAGGUACAUAGUUGGAUGAGAUGUCCUGUGAGAAGGAAUGCAUAUAACAGAAAGUGAGGCAAAAGAGCAAGAAAGAGGUAAGAGUAGAAGUGAAGUUUCAUCGUACUAACACGUGCCAUGUUUUAGGUUUUGUUCUUUUCUUCAGUUUGCUGAGAUUCACAUUUGAUUAAUUUCAUGUAAAUUAGAGUGUGAUGGUGGCAAAUUUAAACACAUUUUAAUCAAAUAUAUUUAUUAAUCACACAAAAUAACAACCCUCUCUAAAAGUAUGUU